UGAACGCUGGCGGCGUGCCUAAUACAUGCAAGUCGAGCGAACAGAUAAGGAGCUUGCUCCUUUGACGUUAGCGGCGGACGGGUGAGUAACACGUGGGUAACCUACCUAUAAGACUGGAAUAACUCCGGGAAACCGGGGCUAAUGCCGGAUAACAUUUAGAACCGCAUGGUUCUAAAGUGAAAGAUGGUUUUGCUAUCACUUAUAGAUGGACCCGCGCCGUAUUAGCUAGUUGGUAAGGUAACGGCUUACCAAGGCAACGAUACGUAGCCGACCUGAGAGGGUGAUCGGCCACACUGGAACUGAGACACGGUCCAGACUCCUACGGGAGGCAGCAGUAGGGAAUCUUCCGCAAUGGGCGAAAGCCUGACGGAGCAACGCCGCGUGAGUGAUGAAGGUCUUCGGAUCGUAAAACUCUGUUAUUAGGGAAGAACAAAUGUGUAAGUAACUAUGCACGUCUUGACGGUACCUAAUCAGAAAGCCACGGCUAACUACGUG
rnacentral:rRNA from 1 species